rnacentral:rRNA from 1 species
UACUGAGUUAUUAAAACUCCAAACCCUUUGUGAACCUUACUGUCGUUGCCUCGGCGUGAGCUACGGCUACCCUGUAGUUACCCUAUAGCUACCCUGCAGCUACCCUAUAGUUGACCAGUAGCUACCCCGUAGUUACCCUAUAGCUACCCUGCAGCUACCCUAUAGUUGACAUGUAGCUACCCUGUAGCCGGCUUAUGGCCCGCCGAAGGACCGCUAAACUCUUGUUUUUUUUACCACUGUUUCUCUGAAUUGUAAACUUAAAUAAGUUAAAACUUUCAACAACGGAUCUCUUGGUUCUGGCAUCGAUGAAGAACGCAGCGAAAUGCGAUAAGUAAUGUGAAUUGCAGAAUUCAGUGAAUCAUCGAAUCUUUGAACGCACAUUGCGCCCAUUAGUAUUCUAGUGGGCAUGCCUAUUCGAGCGUCAUUUCGACCCUUAAGCCCCUGUUGCUUAGCGUUGGGAAUCUACAGCGUAGUUCCUUAAAGUUAGUGGCGGAGUUAGGGUACACUCUCAGCGUAGUAAUCUUUCUCGCUCGUGUGGUGGCCCUGGCUGCUAGCCGUUAAACCCCUAUAUUUUCUAGUGGUUGACCUCGGAUUAGGUAGGAAUACCCGCUGAACUUAAGCAUAUCAAUAA